rnacentral:lncRNA from 1 species
AACAAAGUAAGUUAUGUUCUUAUUGUUUUAUGGUUUCUUAAAUUUAUUUUAACUUAAAUUGAUUAUCUUAUUUUAUACUACAGAGUGAGAAGAAACCUUUGGAGAUUAUGCUGCCCAUUCCUUGAAAGUAAGAUAGAUUUUGCAAUUAUGUUUGUAGUUGUAUUUAAUUAUAACCAGGUUACAUGCCUUUUGGUCUAAAAGGAAAGCUAUCAAACUCUUUCGUCCUUGUAGCUAAGGUGUUAAAUGCUGUGAAAACUGUAGGUUUGAUGUUGCUGCUUUGAUUAUCAAUGUUGUGGCUGGAAUUUAUGCUGGAAAUGUCCCACUUGUGCAGGUGUGUAUUAUAUAUAUAUAUAUAUAUAUUGUUUCACAGCAUUUGUAAAAAUGAAGCAGCUGCGUUUGUAAAAAUGAAGCAGCUGCAUAUGUAAAAUGUCCCACUUUCCCAAGAUAUGUUUCAAAGCAUAUAUAUUGUUUCACAGGUGUGGCUGGAAUUAUGAUAUGAUAUGUUAAAAUAAAGCAGCUGCAUAUGUAAAAAUGAAGUAGCUGCGUUUGUACUAUCAACUUUUCAGAAUAUGUAUGGCUGAAGUUUGAUCAAUUUUAUGUUGUGGAAUCUAUUGAUUGCAUAAUAUGAUGCUUUAAAGUCUUACAUUGAGAAAUGUUCAAAGGUCAGACCUCAUGGUUGAUGUUCUUUAUAUUUUGUUUUUCUUAUAUGCAGCCUUUAACAUGGUUGGUGUUGCCGUGUUGGUAUUGGAGAGACGACUUGGUGUUGCUGAUUCGGAAGCUGCAAAUUUAUAUUUUUAUGUUGUAUUUCAUUUAAGACUUGUUACUUUUUGAAUUUUUGAUGCCUUUAAACUAUUUGAAAGUGCAUUUUUAUGCUUUCGAUGUUUUGGAUAUCUAAGAUUUGUUAUAAUUGAUUUGGAGAAAGACUUUUGG